UCUAAAAAGGUUUUUCUAAAUGAAAAUGAAUUAUUAAUGAUGGAAAGUAAAUUCAAAUUUCUGCAGUUUUUUCAUCCCUGAUGAUGUUGGAGCUGAAGCAGCUCUGAAGCAAAACUUGACUGAAAACAGAAUCUUAUUUAAACUCUAGUUGUUCUAUUUUCUUAGAAUAUUCAUGUUCAUUAAAUGACGUUAAAUGAACCCAAAGUGAAGAAUUACACGCAUUAUUUUCUCUGAAACUCUUCUGCAGGUCAAAGAUAUGAGAGGAGGUCAUUUCGGAGACAAUUUAACGUCAAACAUUGUCUAAAAGACUAAACUCCAGAGGAAACAGGAAGAAGUUCUGGAAAAAAAAAAUCUUUUAAGAUUCUGAACACCGCCCUCUAGUGGCUACAGCGUGCUACAACAGGUAGUAAAAAUUAGAACAUGACAAAAAGUCAAUUUUCAUUAAAAAUGUUAUAGAAAGAAAAAAGUAAACACAUUUUACAAACAUAAAUGAUAAAUUGAUUGAAGACAAAGAAUCAAAACUCAUAAAGUAAAAACUGAUGAAAUGUUUGAGGCUCAACAACCAAAAACAAAACAAAACCACACAAAUACGUUUAUUAAUACCAAGAUUGUAAGACAUUUUCUAAAAAAAAAUCUUAAAUGCUAAAAUAGUAGAAAGAGUUAUUUAAAUGUCAAAUAAUUCAGAUUAAAACAGUAAAAGUUUUUUUUUUUAAAAAAAGGAAACAAAAAUAAAAAAAUAAUUAAUUUGAUUUGAUAAAAGUUUGUAGCUUAAAAUUUGCUGAAGUUUUUACUCUUAAGCAGCAGAAAGGUAAAAUAAUUUUCAUUGUUUUUUAAUCAGCAGAACACAGAUUUAUGUUUCAAAAACAGAGAAGAAAACAAGGAGGAGCUGGAGGUCUGGAUGCAGUUGGAACAUUCAAGGAAAGCUCCACAGGUCCAUGAAGUCCCAGCUUGUCAUCAAACAGCAGAGUUAGGAGGACAAAACUUCAUCUGGUCUGGACGGGUCUUCAGAGCAGAUCCAGGUGUGGCUGUAAUCCAGCCCAGCAGCUGCAGGGAUUGGACCCGGGACCCGCCGCGGUGCUGAUGCUGCCGGCGAAGCAGCGUGGACUCUGAGGCGGUUAAAGCCGGCAGAACUGAGAUCCUCUAACGACUGCGACCUCAGAGGUUUUCAGGAGAUAAAGGAGAAGCCGGUUUGGACCUCGUUAACCCUCAGAGAACAUCAGGCGGCUCCAACCCGCCGGCUGAUUAAUCGGCUCCAGCAGCACUUCGCUGCACAGGUGACCUUGAGACUAAUGAAUCUGCUUUGCAUGUUUACGUUUGUUGCAUGAAGUUGCAGAGAGCAGCAGCUGCAGCAGGAGGACGGCUGCUGUCCGGAUCAAACAGGAAUGGAGGGGAUGACUGCCACCUGCUGGAGAAAGAUGGAAACAGAUUUCAAACUACGUUCACACUCGGAACACUCGUUCAAGUGACUAUUUUUUAAUAAAAAGUCCAUUUAAA